rnacentral:rRNA from 1 species
AUUGAACGCUGGCGGCAGGCCUAACACAUGCAAGUCGAACGAGUGGCGGACGGGUGAGUAAUGUCUGGGAAACUGCCUGAUGGAGGGGGCUAACUACUGGAAACGGUAGCUAAUACCGCAUACCAUCGGAUGUGCCCAGAGGGGAUUAGCUAGUCGGUGGGGUAACGGCUCACCUAGGCGACGAGCCCUAGCUGGUCUGAGAGGAUGACCAGCCACACUGGGACUGAGACGCGGUCCAGACUCCUACGGGAGGCAGCAGUGGGGAAUAUGGCGGAAUGGGCGCAAGUCUGAUGCAGCCAUGCCGCGUGUAUGAAGAAGGUGUUCGGGUUGUAAAGUACUUUCAGCGGGGAGGCGGUACCCGCGGAAGAAGCACCGGCUAACUCCGUGCCAGCAGCCGCGGUAAUAC